rfam:Halomonas desiderata SP1 contig_102, whole genome shotgun sequence.
UGUUCCCUGGGGUGUUGGCCAGUCGUUGAAGUCCCUCGAGCCUAUGAGCAAUACCCAGGGCGGCCAUUAGCUAGCCGGACCCGUGUGCAUGUCCGUGCGUCGGAAAGCCUGACGGUUCGGCUGCGGCCACCCACCUUGAACCAAGGGUUCAAGGGCCAGAACGACAGCGGCACUCUGGGGAACCU